rnacentral:lncRNA from 1 species
GUAAGGCAAAAAGCUAUGGGCAAAGAAACCUGAACUGCUGCUCUGGGAGAUAAAACUGUGCCGCGUUGUCAAAAAUGUUCUGCCCUUUUUCCUGAAAUUACGCUGUAUAAAGUUACUGGAUUUCCAGCUCUGGGAACUGAACUUUUCCUUCAGGAGUAUUACUACUAGCUCUUAUAGACAUAAUCAACAGAAGCCUUCAGCCCAGCAGGCAGGUGUCACAGUAGCAGUUCGUUUACAAGGCUUUGGCUAUAGGAUGUGUGCAAACCUUUGGAUGUAUAUACACACAAAAUGCAGAGACCUAACACUGAAAGCUUAUUUACAAAAAAAGGAUGCUGAAAUGGAUCCAGAAAACCAAGACUGGAAUAGGUCAGCCUUACCUCGUGUCAAUGUGAGUGGCUGAGGCCAAGAGUAGGACAAUGCAUUUCUACAGAAAGUGUGCUUUGGGACAGCUGAAGAUCUAAUUCCAUGAAGAUAUUUCUGAGAAACUGUGUGAAAAUAUUAAGCAAAUGAAAAAUAAGCCAUGCAAAUUUAGUAGAUCAGGAAAUCUGAGAAGCAGAAUAGUUAAUUCUCAUUUCAUUGGAUUCUUUUUGAACUUCUUCCUUAAAAACUGACUUAGAUAAGAAGAAAGGGUUAAAUGAGAGGAUGGGACCAUAGGUAGAAAAGAACGCCUACUUGUGAAUAAAAUAGUUCUGACCAUUCCA